UAGGANAAANUNANAUGUGAAAGCNCCGGGCUCAACCUNGNAAUUGCAUUUAAANCUGUUCAGCUAGAGUCUUGUAGAGGGGGGUAGAAUUCCAGGUGUAGCGGUGAAANGCGUAGAGAUCUGGAGGAAUACCGGUGGCGAAGGCGGCCCCCUGGACAAAGACUGACGCUCAGGUGCGAAAGCGUGGGGAGCAAACAGGAUUAGAUACCCUGGUAGUCCACGCCGUAAACGAUGUCGAUUUGGAGGCUGUGUCCUUGAGACGUGGCUUCCGGAGCUAACGCGUUAAAUCGACCGCCUGGGGAGUACGGCCGCAAGGUUAAAACUCAAAUGAAUUGACGGGGGCCCGCACAAGCGGUGGAGCAUGUGGUUUAAUUCGANGNNACGCGAAGAACCUUACCUGGCCUUGACAUGUNNNNNNNNNNGUAGAGAUACGGGAGUGCCUUCGGGANUCAGAACACAGGUGCUGCA
rnacentral:rRNA from 1 species